rnacentral:rRNA from 1 species
AACGAACGCUGGCGGCAGGCCUAACACAUGCAAGUCGAGCGAAGCCUUCGGGCUUAGCGGCGGGCGGGUGAGUAACGCGUGGGAACGUGCCCUUUGGUACGGAAUAGCCCCGGGAAACUGGGAGUAAUACCGUAUGUGGUCGAGAGACGAAAGAUUUAUCGCCAAAGGAUCGGCCCGCGUUGGAUUAGGUAGUUGGUGGGGUAAUGGCCUACCAAGCCGACGAUCCAUAGCUGGUUUGAGAGGAUGAUCAGCCACACUGGGACUGAGACACGGCCCAGACUCCUACGGGAGGCAGCAGUGGGGAAUCUUAGACAAUGGGGGAAACCCUGAUCUAGCCAUGCCGCGUGAUCGAUGAAGGCCUUAGGGUUGUAAAGAUCUUUCAGUGGGGAAGAAAAUGACUGUACCCACAGAAGAAGCCCCGGCUAACUCCGUGCCAGCCGCCGCGGUAAAAC